GAUGAACGCUGGCGGCGUGCCUAACACAUGCAAGUCGAGCGAUUCUCUUCGGAGAAGAGCGGCGGACGGGUGAGUAACGCGUGGGUAACCUGCCCUGUACACACGGAUAACAUACCGAAAGGUAUGCUAAUACGAGAUAAUAUGCCUUUAUCGCAUGGUAGAAGUAUCAAAGCUUUUGCGGUACAGGAUGGACCCGCGUCUGAUUAGCUAGUUGGUAAGGUAACGGCUUACCAAGGCGACGAUCAGUAGCCGACCUGAGAGGGUGAUCGGCCACAUUGGAACUGAGACACGGUCCAAACUCCUACGGGAGGCAGCAGUGGGGAAUAUUGCACAAUGGGCGAAAGCCUGAUGCAGCAACGCCGCGUGAGCGAUGAAGGCCUUCGGGUCGUAAAGCUCUGUCCUCAAGGAAGAUAAUGACGGUACUUGAGGAGGAAGCCCCGGCUAACUACGUGCCAGCAGCCGCAGUAAAAC
rnacentral:rRNA from 1 species